rnacentral:RNase_P_RNA from 1 species
GAAGCAGGCCAGACCGCCGCUGGCACGAUCGUGGAAACACGGUGCUGGAGGAAGGUCCGGACUGCACAGGGCAGCGCAGGAGCUAACGGCUCUCCACCGCGAGGUGAGGAUCAGAGCAACAGAGACGAGUCUGCCCAGGGCCUUCCCGAGUGUGGGGUGCUCUGCGACGUGACGGCGCAAGCCGGCACGCAUCCGGCGUCAGCCGGAUGCCCGAGGCGCAAGCCGAGGAGAGCAGCCACCCUCCCCGGGGCCAGGCCCCGGGGAGGGUGAAACGGGCAAUCUCUGCGCGCAGCAACACCAAGUAGGCACACGUCGACGCGGCCCGCGGAGUGUGCGGGUAGGUGGCACCGAGCCGUGGUGGCGACACCCGGCCCAGAGGAAUGGCGGUCACGCCGGGGAAACCCGGUGCACAGAAUCCGGCCUAUCGGUCUGCUUCACAA